rnacentral:rRNA from 1 species
GACGAACGCUGGCGGCGUGCUUAACACAUGCAAGUCGAACGGAAAGGCCCUGCUUUUGUGGGGUGCUCGAGUGGCGAACGGGUGAGUAACACGUGAGUAACCUGCCCUUGACUUUGGGAUAACUUCAGGAAACUGGGGCUAAUACCGGAUAGGAGCUCCUGCUGCAUGGUGGGGGUUGGAAAGUUUCGGCGGUUGGGGGUGGACUCGCGGCUUACCAGCUUGUUGGUGGGGUAGUGGCUUACCAAGGCUUUGACGGGUAGCCGGCCUGUGAGGGUGACCGGCCACAUUGGGACUGAGAUACGGCCCAGACUCCUACGGGAGGCAGCAGUGGGGAAUAUUGCACAAUGGGCGGAAGCCUGAUGCAGCAACGCCGCGUGCGGGAUGACGGCCUUCGGGUUGUAAACCGCUUUCGCCUGUGACGAAGCGUGAGUGACGGUAAUGGGUAAAGAAGCACCGGCUAACUACGUG